UUUCAAGUCUGUUGUACACAUUCUCAAUUUUGUCACACUGUCUAUGUUAUAGACAGGAGCCUAGAAAUUGCUGUAAAUGCUUACGAGGUGUUAUGAAAAUGGAACAGAGCAUAAUAAAGGAGUGGAAAAUUUUACAUGUCUGCCAAGAUUCCACUCGUUUCUAAAAAAUCAACCUGGACCACUUCCUCAAUGAAGGCAAGACGCCUGUUGGGUGAGUCUUAAUACAGUAUCUUUUUAAAGCAGCUUUCACAUUCAGUCAGUUGCCUGCUUCUGCAGCAUAGC
rnacentral:lncRNA from 1 species